UUUCCCAGGUGACUACCAAUUCUUCUCUUAAUAAUAGAUUUUAGUGGCUAUUUUUAUGGGAUAAAUGAAAAUUGCCAUCAUCUGAAGAGGGAGGAUUUUGUAUGUGUGUACAGCCAUAUGAAAUGAUUGGACAGAAAACU
rnacentral:snoRNA from 1 species